AUGUGUGUACUAUCGCCAUGGUGGGGGCGAGGAGUUAUGCUUUGCUUGUAUGUUGAUGACAUACUGAUUUUCGGAACAAAUCUGAAUGUUAUUAACGAGGUCAAGGAUUUCCUAUCUCGCUAUUUUGAGAUGAAGGAUUUAGGAGUGGCUGAUGUCAUUUUGAACAUCAAGUUGUUGAAAGAUGAUGAUGGUGGGAUUACAUUGCUUCAAUCUCACUAUGUGGAAAAGAUAUUGAGUCGCUUUGGCUAUAGUGACUGCAAGCCCUCUCCAACACCAUAUGAUGCUAGCGUGUUGCUUCGAAAGAAUCAAAGAAUUGCUAGAGAUCAAUUGAAGUAUUCUCAGAUUAUUGGCUCGCUUAUGUACUUAGCCAGUGCUACAAGACCUGACAUCUCUUCUGCUAUAAAGGCCACGAGUGGAUAUAUGUUCACUCAUGGAGGUGGCGCUGUUUCUUGGAAGUCUUGCAAGCAGACCAUCUUAACGAGGUCAACUAUGGAAGCAGAACUCACAGCACUAGAUACAGCUACGGUCGAAGCAGAUUGGCUUCGCCGGCUCUUGAAUGACUUUCCGGUUGUUGAGAAACCUGUACCGGGUAUCCUUAUGAACUGUGACAAUCAAACUAACAUCUUUUGA
rnacentral:rRNA from 1 species